rnacentral:rRNA from 1 species
UGAUUCAUGGCUCAGGAUGAACGCUGGCGGCGUGCUUAACACAUGCAAGUCGAACGAUGAAGCCCAGCUUGCUGGGUGGAUUAGUGGCGAACGGGUGAGUAACACGUGAGUAACCUGCCCUUAACUCUGGGAUAAGCCUGGGAAACUGGGUCUAAUACCGGAUAGGAGCGUCCACCGCAUGGUGGGUGUUGGAAAGAUUUAUCGGUUUUGGAUGGACUCGCGGCCUAUCAGCUUGUUGGUGAGGUAAUGGCUCACCAAGGCGACGACGGGUAGCCGGCCUGAGAGGGUGACCGGCCACACUGGGACUGAGACACGGCCCAGACUCCUACGGGAGGCAGCAGUGGGGAAUAUUGCACAAUGGGCGAAAGCCUGAUGCAGCGACGCCGCGUGAGGGAUGACGGCCUUCGGGUUGUAAACCUCUUUCAGUAGGGAAGAAGCGAAAGUGACGGUACCUACAGAAGAAGCACCGGCUAACUACGUGCCAGCAGCCGCGGUAAUACGUAGGGUGCGAGCGUUAUCCGGAAUUAUUGGGCGUAAAGAGCUCGUAGGCGGUUUGUCGCGUCUGUCGUGAAAGUCCGGGGCUUAACCCCGGAUUUGCGGUGGGUACGGGCAGACUAGAGUGCAGUAGGGGAGACUGGAAUUCCUGGUGUAGCGGUGGAAUGCGCAGAUAUCAGGAGGAACACCGAUGGCGAAGGCAGGUCUCUGGGCUGUAACUGACGCUGAGGAGCGAAAGCAUGGGGAGCGAACAGGAUUAGAUACCCUGGUAGUCCAUGCCGUAAACGUUGGGCACUAGGUGUGGGGACCAUUCCACGGUUUCCGCGCCGCAGCUAACGCAUUAAGU